AGAUUCAGCAACUGCAUGACCUAUUUCUUCCUUAAAAUGUUUACAGAAACAUGUUUCGGUGAGUAAAAUAUAGAAAAAUAUGAGACUCUGGGAGAGUCUGGCUUUGAAUUUUCGGAGAAGCCAGACCCACGUGACGUGUUCAUCCAAUCAGCUGCCAGUUUAAAUUUUUUGGCCGACAAUACAGAUUAGCGCCACCUGCUGUUAUGGAGAUGUAUUACGUCUCGUCGCUUUAGUGUUUUCAGAGGCACUGUUUUGACCAACU